rnacentral:siRNA from 1 species
AUGUGAUCUAUAAAUCCAAGGCGC